GAGGGUAUAGCUCAGUGGUAGAGAGCAUGCUUAGCAUGGGUCCUGGGUUCAAUCCCCACUACCUCCA
rnacentral:tRNA from 1 species